ensembl:snoRNA
AAGACUAUACUUUCAGGGAUCAUUUCUAUAGUUCUUAACUUGAGAAAUGUGUUUCUAAAGUGAUUGGUCUCGCCAACUACGAUGAUGAGGUACGAUACUCCUUCCUGAGCGUGAAGCUGGCAUAGAAUAAUGAAUUUAUUCAUAAGUUCUAUGACAUUGAUGAACGUUCGCUGCUUCACUUUGGAGCAUUGAGGGAUGGAGUAUGUUCAGAGUAGUU